GACUUUUUUUUUUUUGUCUGAUUCUCUCAAAACACUUUCGUUUUAUCUUAAUCUUUUCUGCAAUGGGAUAUGAUGAAAUGGCAUUAAUGUUUUGUGACACCCAGUCUGAUCUGCUUCGGCGGAGUGAUUGAUUUGCCAUUAUUCUCUGAUCCUAAAAGUCUUUGUGUUUUCAAUUUUGUGAAUUUGAUCCAAAGUUUUGAUCUUUGAAGGGAGGAAUGAGGGGAAGAGUAUAGGCCCGGCCCAUAGUAUAUUUAAGUGAAAGAGUUACGCAUGGGAGUUCUUCGGGGUCCAAGGGGAAGCUUAAGAUCAAGGUUCCAUGGUUUGAUAAUUCGGCUUUGAUUGAGUGUUAUGUUAAGACCUUAAUUGGUAGAGGCAUGAAUCCAGUGAUGCAGGAUAUGAUGGCACUGUUGUUUGUACUGCCGCGGAUCUGGAAGAUUGAGGAGGAGAGGGUGGUUGGUUGGGGCUGAUUUGGGAGAGGUAGAGGAGGUUGAUAUUGAUAAUGGUCGGGUUAAGGUUUUGCUUGAUGGUUUCAAUUCAAGCCGUUUGGUCUUUGAUGCCUCAGUAGAGUUUCCAUAGUAAAGAGGAGACGACGGUGACUCUGCGGUAUGAGCGGUUGUAUGGAUAUUGUUGAAGGUGUCACAGUCUUUGUCUUGAUGUUUUCCGGUGUCCACUCUUUGGCGACAAAGGGAAGCAAAAGAUGGAAGAUGUGUCGGGUCCUCGGCCAGAGGAUAAGGAUAAGCUUCAGAGCUAUAAGGGGGCAAUGGUUAAUGGAGUAACCAUUAUAUGAUGAAAAAUGGCAUUAAUGUUUUGUGACACCCAGUCUGAUCUGCUUUUGCAGAGUGAUUGCUUUGCCUUUAUUCUCUGAUCCUAAAAGUCUUUGCGUUUUCAAUUUUGUGAAUUUUAUAACUAAAGUUUUGAUUUUUGUCUUUGUGUUUUGUAUUGUUUGGUGAUGAUUUGCCUAUGGUAUCUGAUGUCCAAAGUUGAUUAAAAAAAUGUGUUUGGACAUUUCGUUUUUCUUAGGCAGAAAGUGUAAUCAGGCUUUGUGACACUGUUAGCUUCUUUAUAACCAUAAGCUAUCUGACUUGGUUCUCUUGGUGUUGAAGUUGCUUCCGUGGUGAUAAUCUUUGGAACCAUCUCUCUGUCGUUUUUAUAUGAUACCUUGUGGAGAUGCCGACUUAGCAUAUUGAUCCGUGUUUUAUUGACAAGUUCAUGUCAGAGAAAGUGAAGAGCAUUGAAGGUAUUUACUACUGGAAUAUCAAAGUCGCAACAAGUGUUUAUUAGACUAUUUGGAGUUUGCUCUUGUUUGUAUCAAUAACUUGUAUGGUUUCAUUUCUGCUGAUAUUAAAAGAUAAUGACAAGAGUUUACUUCCACUCUUUUGUUUUGACCUGAAAUAUAAACGUGACAAUGAAGUUUGAAUAAGACGAUGUACACAUUCUCGUU